GUUGACUUGUACAUGUGUAGUUCACUUUUACAAUUCUAUCAUCUUCAUCAGCUCACUCUCCUACGAAAUUCUCUAAUUUCCUCCCCCUCAUUCCAUGCAAAGACACCAUUUUUAUUUAUUUUUCUGCAGCUGCUCUCUAUUCUCUUUCACUAACUGGUAUAUUUUAAUUAUAAUUCUUUUACUUAGCUUAAUUACAAGAUGUUAAAGCAAGUUUCGGAAAGUACUAAAUCAAAGAAAUAGUCUACACGGCAAAGGCCAUUGCAACAACUCCAUGUUUCAGAUUGUACAAGGUUGUGCUGGGGCGAGUCUCUUUCGUUUCUUGUCUCUGGUAUGGUUGACCAAUUUGCCGUCACCCGACCCGACCAAAUUUACCAAUUUGUGGGCCUGUCUGCGAUUCAGUGGCCCAUCACCAUUGGGCUACGUGGUUAAUUAUUAGCGACAAGAGAGCUGACAUGACUAGCGAGGCGUAAAUAAAAAUAAAAGUUGCAGGAUCGAUCAGCUGUUAAAAAGGAGGCUGCCUUUAGUCUAGAAAGCAAGAAAACAAGAAAACUCAAAAAUAUUUUUCUAGAGAUCCACUCAAGAAAGCAAGAAAACUCAAGGAAGGAGAAGGACUCUCCAAAGCUAUUCCGUGAAAGGUCGGUCUUUUCUCAAUGGCGUGUGGAUUCCUGUCAAUCAUCACAGAGCUGGAAAAUGGCUACGAUCAUCCUAUGGUUCUGGAGGGAACUAGGCAUUUGGGAAUGUUUCCUAUGGUUAGGAUCACAGUCCCACCAGGCGAGGUAAAAGAUAUAUGCUAUGGCAAUCUUUGCAUUGAAGAGAAUCCAGAUCGUCCGAUUCUGGUGUCUAUUUUUCUGGACGGUGCCGCUGAAGAGGAGAAGAAGAAGUAUAUCCUCUCUACCCUUAUAAGGGACAAUGGCAAGCUGGUGCUCAAUUACGAGAAUAGUAAUGUUACUUAUAUGCCUGUGGAGGGGAAUAUUAUGACAAGGAUUGGAUGCAUUGUCAAUCUAAAGCGCUUUAUGACAGGAAUCUGGGAGAAACUCAACAACCAUUGAAAGGUUAAUUAUAAGGAGCAUCAUCACGGAUGGGGCUUCCAGGCAUACACAACUUUGUCGGAGAAAACAUACGUUGGCUUGCUUCAUAGUUAAUUUGAGACUUUUAUUUUACUCUUCUUUGCAAUUGCAUAUUUCAUUCAGCUAAAACUCCGUGGACUUCUGUAUUUGCAUCUUAUCUUCUUGUUGUUGGCAUUUGACAAUUAUUUACAAUCAUGGUUUUAUUAUUUGUUA